GACGAACGCUGGCGGCGUGCCUAACACAUGCAAGUCGAACGGGGGUAAUUUCUUCGGAGAUUACUUAGUGGCGAACGGGUGAGUAACGCGUGAGAAACCUGCCUUUCAGUGGGGGACAACAGUUGGAAACGACUGCUAAUACCGCAUAAUGUCAUUUAGGGGCAUCCCUUAAUGACCAAAGCUUUAUGUGCUGAAAGAUGGUCUCGCGUCUGAUUAGCUAGAUGGCGGGGUAACGGCCCACCAUGGCGACGAUCAGUAGCCGGUCUGAGAGGAUGAACGGCCACAUUGGGACUGAGAUACGGCCCAGACUCCUACGGGAGGCAGCAGUGGGGAAUAUUGGGGCAAUGGGCGAAAGGCCUGACCCAGCGACGCCGCGUGAGGGAGAAGAUACUUCGGAUUGUAAACCUUAGUCAACAGGGAAGAAGAAAGUGACGGUACCUGUGGAGGAAGCCACGGCUAACUACGUG
rnacentral:rRNA from 1 species